AUUGAACGCUGGCGGCAGGCCUAACACAUGCAAGUCGAGCGGAGCGGCGGACGGGUGAGUAAUGCCUAGGAAUCUGCCUGGGAGUGGGGGAUCACGUUCGGAAACGGGCGCUAAUACCGCAUACUAUCAGAUGAGCCUAGGUCGGAUUAGCUAGUUGGUGAGGUAAUGGCUCACCAAGGCGACGAUCCGUAACUGGCCUGAGAGGAUGAUCAGUCACACUGGAACUGAGACACGGUCCAGACUCCUACGGGAGGCAGCAGUGGGGAAUAUUGGACAAUGGGCGAAAGCCUGAUCCAGCCAUGCCGCGUGUGUGAAGAAGGUCUUCGGAUUGUAAAGCACUUUAAGUUGGGAGGCGUUACCGACAGAAUAAGCACCGGCUAACUCUGUGCCAGCAGCCGCGGUAAUUC
rnacentral:rRNA from 1 species